rnacentral:rRNA from 1 species
UACGUAGGGCGCGAGCGUUGUCCGGAGUUACUGGGCGUAAAGAGCUCGUAGGCGGCCUGCCGCGUCUGCCGUGAAAGCCCACGGCUCAACCGUGGGUCUGCGGCGGAUACGGGCGGGCUUGAGGCUGGUAGGGGCAAGCGGAAUUCCUGGUGUAGCGGUGAAAUGCGCAGAUAUCAGGAGGAACACCGGUGGCGAAGGCGGCUUGCUGGGCCAGUCCUGACGCUGAGGAGCGAAAGCGUGGGGAGCGAACAGGAUUAGAUACCCUGGUAGUCCACGCCGUAAACGUUGGGCGCUGGGUGUGGGGGCUUUCCACGGUUCCCGUGCCGUAGCUAACGCGUUAAGCGCCCCGCCUGGGGAGUACGGCCGCAAGGCUAAA